rnacentral:sRNA from 1 species
AGAUCAUAGAGUUGUCUUCCUUAGCUACUGGUAUUUAUACAGAGUUGUGCCAGUAUUCAGAUACUAAACCUUGCAAACAUUUGGAGUUGCUCCAGGCAUCAUUGAAAAGAUUUGUACAGUCUGAAUCUCUCUCUUCAUUGUCUUCAAGAUUGCCAGAUUGGAACAUGCUACUUGAAAUGUCUGCGGUUCCUUUUGAAAACAGUGAUGGGAGGAUACAGUUUGUAUUGAAUCUCUUGCAUCACAACACACUUUAUAGAUGGCAUCCUAGCAAGUCAACGCCAGCCAUGGGAAGCACUAAGAAAGUCUCAGAAAGUGAGAUUGUCAAUCUAUGUUCUAGAGUCCUACAGGAAACGGAAGCCUCUCUGAGACAAAUCAGGUCCA